GGUGGCUGUGGUCCAUCCCUGGGGUCACCGGGCCCUGUGCCUCCGCUCCUCCCAGGUCCACCCAGGGCGGGUGCCUGCUCCCCACCCAGCCUCGGCGUCUCCACCUGCCAAAUGGGUUCCAGCUCUUGUCCUCUGUGGUCUGGGGUGGGCACCCAGGAAGUGAGACUUGCGAGGCACCCCUAGGCUUGGUCUCAAAGGGAGAAAACAUCCCCUGAGCCUGCUCCAGAGCCCCCAAGUAGAAAUCUCUGGGUGACUGCCUUUGCCCUGGGGGAGGGGGGGUGAUCCCUAGGGGUGGGUUCCCACUGGUCCCAAAGUGUGCACCAGGUCACUCCUGGAACCACAGGCCCUGGCUGCUCUCCCCAGCAUCCAUUUCACAGGUGAGAAACUGAGGCUGGGACUGCAGGCUGAGUCUGUAUUCAGUGAGGAAUGCACCAGGCCUGCACCUAUUAGACACCUGCUGCGUGCCCUGACUUGGCACCAAGGACCCUGGGAUAAGCCGACCUGCCAGGGCCAAGGAGAGCCAUGUUCAGGGAGGGGUCUGGAGAACUUCACCAGUGACCCACGCUGGUAAAACUCAAACAGGGCAGAAGCAUUAAAAUAACCACCCUCGUCCCACAGCCUUGCCUCGCGAAGGAAUCCCGGCCUCCGGUUCGGGAGCAUCCUCCCAGGCCUCCUCCAGAACAUUCGCUCACACACGGAUACUCAGGCUCGCAGACGUAUACGGACGCACACGCAUAUGUACGCAGACACACGUGCACCCAGACUCACAGGAACACGCGGACACGUGGGAACGCUGAUUACGUAAAGAGCUUCCUCUGUCUGUGGACCAGCUCCGCGCACCAGCUCUGAAGGUGUUUCCAUUGGGUGAAGGCACUUGGUGGCCUUGCACGCUGCACGAGUUCUGAGCUUCAGAAUGUGUCACUGCAGGCUGUCGGGUUCAGGAGCCAGUCUCACACAGGUGAAUCCCGACAGGACCCACAGACAGAUGAGGACGGAGACAGGAGGAGACUGAGUCUGCAGUGUGCCAACCCUGGGCUGCCCCUGUGCUUGGCUGCCACACUGUCUCACCUGGGUCUGGGCUGAGGACCUGGCCCUGGAGACCAAGGACAUUCCAGAGCCUUGGUUUGGAAUCCUCAGUUCCGUGGACGUGGAUGUCCUCGUGGAGUGUGCACGAGCCAGACAGGCCUGGGCUGGAGCUCCUGCCUCUGCUCUCUGCGAGUCUGUUUCCCCACGGUCAGAUGGGAGAGUGAGGGCUCCCAGCUUGCAGAAGGGCAGGAACUGGUGCUGUUGACCCGGGGUGGCACUGGCAUGAUCUGGAGAAGAACCUGGCUUCUGGUUUGGGGUUGGCCCCCACCCGUGAGGCUGGUACCUGUUUUGUCUGUGGACAGGUUAUGCUGUGAGAUUGUCUUUGCCGAUAAUUUAUUUAACACAAGUUCACUGGGAUUAUAACAAUUUCACAAGCCAGUAGCAUACAGGAUAAUGUCUCUUAAUAAGGCAAUAAAGAAAUAAAAAGGGGCUGGCCCUGCGGCCUAGUGGUUAAGUUUGGCACGCUCCACUUCGGCAGUCUGGGUUUGGUUCCUGGGCACAGACCUACACCACUUGUCAGCAGCCACACUGUGGCAGCAGCUCGCUCACAAAAUAGAGGAAGAUUGGCACAGAUGUUACCUUAGGGCAAAUCUUCCUCAGCAAAAAAAGAAAAAGAAAGAAAUUGUAUACUCCAAACCAAUGAUCGACUAAUUACACUCUUGUUCCAGGCAAAGGGGAGAGGAAAGAAAUAAAGUCCAAAUUUACUUGAGGUGUCCCUUUCUCUGAGCUGAUUCUUGGACAAGUCGACUUAGAGCUGACAUCCAGCUGCCAUUGCAAAGUUCCAGCUAUUCCCUGGCCACAGUUGCUCUGCCACAGUUCUUGUGGAGAAGACCCCAGCAGCACCUGUCACCUGCGCUCCUGUGUGCUUACGGACAACAAAUGACGAAUGUCAACGACGGCUUCCUGGCACGGCUUCCUCGGCGUGGACAACCUCACUCUUAGAUGGGGCAGCUCCACUCUUGUCCUACAUAAGUGGGCUUGAAGUCGCGUCAAACCGAGACACAGCAGCCCCGCGUCCCAUGCUGCAGACGUCCACACCCGACUGGGGUGGUUUGUGUGCCGCAUGCGGUUGGAAUUCCUCCCCAGAAACAGCGCAGACUUCUCCAACCGGUUUUUAUUUUGUCCUUAAGCCACAUAUUUGAAAAUUACUUAAUCAAAGAGGGUCAUGAACUAAAUCUCAGGCCUGGCUCUGGGGCCCCAGGAGGGGAGUUCGUGAACGUGGGCAUCACUGGGCAGCUGAUGGCUCCCUCCGGGUCCCUGUGCACGCCCUGUCUCGGUGGACUGGGUCUCCCACCUGGCCACGGCCAUUGAUUGAGGGCCUACUAUGUGCCAGGCAAGGUCUUGGGUGUUUCCCACAAACGCUCUUGCGCACAACCACCCUGGGAAGGAGGGUGGCUACCCCCACUUUGCAAGUGAGGAAGCUAAAGCUCAGAGAUGAAGUGGCUUGCCCUAGUUCACCCAGUGGGUGAGAGGCAGAGCUGGGAUGUCAGAUGCCAGAUCCCACAUCCUCUGUCUGUGUCCAGAGGCUGUCUGCCCCUCGGGCAGAACGGGAAGACCAAGACCAC
ensembl:lncRNA